GGCAAGGUGGCCGAGUGGUUAAGGCGUUCGACUCGAAAUCGAAUUCCCUAGGGAGCGUCAGUUCGAAUCUGGCCCUUGUCG